rnacentral:rRNA from 1 species
UGUGAGUCAUUGCAGUAAUGCAAGGCAGACGGCUCAGUAACACGUAGUCAACCUACCCUAUAGACGGGGAUAACCUCAGGAAACUGAGGAUAAACCCCGAUAGAUCAUUAUGCCUGGAACGGUUUAUGGUCCAAAUGAUUCGUCGCUAUAGGAUGGGACUGCGGCCUAUCAGCUUGUUGGUGAGGUAAUGGCCCACCAAGACUAUUACAGGUACGGGCUCUGAGAGGAGUAGCCCGGAGAUGGGUACUGAGACACGGACCCAGGCCCUAUGGGGCGCAGCAGGCGAGAAAACUUUGCAAUGUGCGAAAGCACGACAAGGUUAAUCCGAGUGAUUCCUGCUAAAGGAAUCUUUUGUUAGUCAUAAUACCACUAACGAAUAAGGGGUGGGCAAGUUCUGGUGUCAGCCGCCGCGGUAAAACCAGCACCUCAAGUGGUCAGGAUGAUUAUUGGGCCUAAAGCAUCCGUAGCCGGCUUUGUUAGUUUUCGGUUAAAUCCAUAUGCUCAACAUAUGGGCUGCCGGGAAUACUGCAAAGCUAGGGAGUGGGAGAGGUAGACGGUACUCCGUAGGAAGGGGUAAAAUCCUUUGAUCUAUGGAUGACCACCUGUGGCGAAGGCGGUCUACCAGAACACGUCCGACGGUGAGGGAUGAAAGCUGGGGGAGCAAACCGGAUUAGAUACCCGGGUAGUCCCAGCUGUAAACUAUGCAAACUCAGUGAUGCAUUGGCUUGUGGCCAGUGCAGUGCCGC